ACGAACGCUGGCGGCGUGCUUAACACAUGCAAGUCGAGCGGUAAGGCCUUCGGGUACACGAGCGGCGAACGGGUGAGUAACACGUGGGUGAUCUGCCCUGCACUUCGGGAUAAGCCUGGGAAACUGGGUCUAAUACCGGAUAUGACUUCUGGGUGCAUGCCUGGGGGUGGAAAGAUUUAUCGGUGCAGGAUGGGCCCGCGGCCUAUCAGCUUGUUGGUGGGGUAAUGGCCUACCAAGGCGACGACGGGUAGCCGGCCUGAGAGGGCGACCGGCCACACUGGGACUGAGACACGGCCCAGACUCCUACGGGAGGCAGCAGUGGGGAAUAUUGCACAAUGGGCGGAAGCCUGAUGCAGCGACGCCGCGUGGGGGAUGACGGCCUUCGGGUUGUAAACUCCUUUCAAUAGGGACGAAGAGAAAUUGACGGUACCUAUAGAAGAAGCACCGGCCAACUACGUGCCAGCAGCCGCUGUAAAAC
rnacentral:rRNA from 1 species